rnacentral:rRNA from 4 species
UACGAGAGGCCCAAACGUUAUUCGGAUUUACUGGGCUUAAAGAGUUCGUAGGCGGUUCGGUAAGUGAGGUGUGAAAGCCCUCGGCUCAACCGAGGAAUUGCGCUUCAAACUGCCGGGCUCGAGGGAGAUAGAGGUGAGCGGAACUGAUGGUGGAGCGGUGAAAUGCGUUGAUAUCAUCAGGAACACCAGAGGCGAAGGCGGCUCACUGGGUCUCUUCUGACGCUGAGGAACGAAAGCUAGGGGAGCAAACGGG